rnacentral:rRNA from 1 species
UACAGAGGCCUCGAGCGUUAGGCGGAAUCACUGGGCUUAAAGCGUGUGUAGGCGGACUUCUAAGUGCCUUGUGAAAUCCCACGGCUCACCCGUGGAACGGCUGGGCAUACUGGGAGUCUUGAGCCACCUAGGGGCUGCCGGAACAAAUGGUGGAGCGGUGAAAUGCGUAGAUAUCAUUUGGAACGCCAACGGUGAAAACAGCUGGCUGGGGGUGUGCUGACGCUGAGACACGAAAGCCAGGGGAGCGAGCGGG